UUCGCCACUUCCCUCCCUGCAG
rnacentral:miRNA from 1 species